rnacentral:lncRNA from 1 species
NNNNNNNNNNNNNNNNNNNNNNNNNNNNNNNNNNNNNNNNNNNNNNNNNNNNNNNNNNNNNNNNNNNNNNNNNNNNNNNNNNNNNNNNNNNNNNNNNNNNNNNNNNNNNNNNNNNNNNNNNNNNNNNNNNNNNNNNNNNNNNNNNNNNNNNNNNNNNNNNNNNNNNNNNNNNNNNNNNNNNNNNNNNNNNNNNNNNNNNNNNNNNNNNNNNNNNNNNNNNNNNNNNNNNNNNNNNNNNNNNNNNNNNNNNNNNNNNNNNNNNNNNNNNNNNNNNNNNNNNNNNNNNNNNNNNNNNNNNNNNNNNNNNNNNNNNNNNNNNNNNNNNNNNNNNNNNNNNNNNNNNNNNNNNNNNNNNNNNNNNNNNNNNNNNNNNGGUAUUCGAGAGGACAGAAAAGCCACCACUGCUCAGAAGGUGCAGCAGAUGAAACAGAGGCUGAAUGAGACUGAACGAAAAAGAAAAAGGUGGUUAUGUUGGCAGCCUGUGCUCACUAAGAUGGGGUUUGUGUCAGUCAUUUUGGUUGGCGCUUUGGUUGGCUGGACUCUGUUUUUUCAGCAAAAUGUCCUAUAAAUAAACAGUUUUGCCCAGCAAGCUUCUGCACUAGUACUGACGUUGCUGCAUUAAUCACAAGGGUCUGUCUUUUAGCAGCAAACGCCUCCUACCCCAAAAACGGUGCAGUAGAAUAGACAUCAGCCAGAUCAGUGAGACUUAACCCCAGCCCAGCAUCUCAGGACUCUUCACUGCAGGUGCCUCUGAAACCUAAACUGUAAGCGGCUGUCUAAAAUAAAGACGUUCGUGCGUGUUAAAAAUCGAUACAUUCUGCACCUGUAUUCACAAGUGUGACACGUAAUUUCACCCGACCAACAUUGAGAAAUCCUUUAUCACAAGGAUUUGAAUUUGAAGGCUAUCUGGAUUUUAACCUGCACUUGAUACAAGCAAUAAAUAUUGUGGUUUUAUUACAUUAUUAAUGGAAAGAAAAUGACCUUUAAUGUGUGUAAUGUAUAAUGUAUUAUUGACAUGGGCAUCAACACUUUAUAUUCUUAACCAUUUCAGGGUAAAUAUAUUUUAUAAGUACCUAUUUAAUCUUACUUUUGUAGUUAAAUGUACUUUUUAAAAACUCAAUUUGAAAAUCUGUUACCAUUAAAAAUAAUAAUAAUAAAUUGUAUGUUGCUUCAAUUGUACUGGAUACAUUUUCCCUUUUCCUAAAGAGAAGUUUGAUAUGAGUAGUUACAAAUCAGGAUAAGCAGUUUCUACUACAUAUUUGCAUUUCAUUUAUAUUUUACAGUUUUCUCUAUUUUAAAAAGAAAAACAAAAACAAAAUUUUUCUGCAAAAUAUCUUUGAAAUCCUUGCUGGGACACUUAGGUAAUAGCUGCCAAGACUGUGUACAGAAAUCGGUCUCUGUAAAGCCCAUGACUAACAUUGUACAUUUUCCACAAAAACUCAGUGUAAUUACCCUAAUUUAUAAUUGGGGUAAAUCAUGAUUUAGAAACUCAAAGCAGCGACACUGGUGAUCUGUGAUUUCAGUUCACAGACUGAAGUUUUGAAGCAAAAUUUUUUCACGUUCUUUCCACUGCAGCAAAUAGUGAGGUGAUGUACAAACCUUCCCUUGUCCUUUAACUUCUUAGUGAAUAUUUUUAGACUUCAGUACUCACCCUAGUGCUAGUUUUCUUCAGGUUCCAAUACACCAAUCAGUGUUUGACUUGUUUAACUUAAACUCUAAAUAGUUGAUAUAAAUUAAUUGCCAGGCAGCAUAGAUAGUACAUAUUAUUUGAGUGGUUUCCAAACUCUGCUCAUUGGAUUUUCAAGAGGGUCACCAAGAGGUUGACUGUCAGCCUCAGCAUCUCUGCUUUAUCUUUUAUAUACCAUGUAAGGUUUUGGCACAAGGCUUAAUCAUUUCAAGGGGGACAGUUAUCAUGUAAAGGCAAUUUGAAAACCAUGGGUGUAGGUAAUGUUUGGGAUUGACUUGCGUAGCCUUACUGAGUGUGCUGACUGUGCAGGACAUAGGUGGUACUACAUAUUAAGUAAGAUUGAUGUAACAUGUGCCCAUGUCCUGACUCAGUAUCACUGUGUCCUUGACCCUGAAGCGGAGAGGAGUAAGAGGGACAUCUCUGUCUGUCUGUCUGAACUAAACCUGUGUUUAGGCAUCAAGACGCUAAUGCUUUAGGUGGUUUUGGUUUAAAAUCCUUCUUUCUAAUUUGCAUUGUUUUAUCUUUGCUAAAGUACAGUCCAUUGCUCUGCAAGCCAGCAUGGGCAGGCAUCAUUCCAUUUCCAGUUAGUUUGUUUCCUUGAUUUUAACAACAAGGUAAAGACUCCUUAUAGGAAAGAAAUACUGAUAAGGCUGUACCCAGCCUUACUCAGGAUGAACGUGCUUCGUGGAUUCAGCAUUUCAGCCUAGCGUUAUGUCUGCUUUUUGUCCUUCUGAAUGGUACAUGGUACAGUGUGUUUUAAAAUCAAAUUCAGUGUAGUGAACACUUUGUGAACUUCAGGGCCAGGCUCUUCCCUCCCAGCAGAUCCCUGAGGGUGAGGUGGAUGGUGGAGUCUUUAAACAGGGGUGUGGUUUUACCAGUGCUGAUAUAUUUUGUGUGUGCCAAAUGCUAAUUACUAAAAUAUAUGGCAGUAGGUGGCAGUGCCAUGGUCAUUACCCCAGCCCUUUGUUAAAUGAGCUAUGCAAGUCAAACAUGGACAAAGAUGUGGCUCCUGCCCUCUCCAUUAGCACCAGAAGAAAGCAGUUCCUGAUGGGUUCUGUAUCUUGAAAAGGAUUUUGUGUAUGCAUAGGUCUCCAGAAUAUUUGUGACUUCAACAGAUUUUAAGUCACUUAUAGCCGAGCACAGUGAUACAUGCCUGUAAUCCCAGCAGCUCGGGAUGCUGAGGCAGGAGGAUUGCAAGUUCAAAGCCAGCCUCAGCAACUUAGUGAGGUCCUAAGCAACUCAGUGAGACCCUGUCUCUAAAUAAAAUACAAUAAAGGGAUAAGGAUGUGGCUCAGUGCUUAAGUGCCCCUGAGUUCAAUCCCCAGUAUCAAAAACAAACACAAAAAAAAGAAGGUCUCUUAUUCUCAGGAAAGAGCACUUAGUUCACCUCCACGUCUACUCUGAGCUGGUACAGACUUUGCUUCAUGGCGGUGCUGGCUGGUUACACACUCCUUUCCAGGUGUAGCCACGUGUUGUGUUACAUUGUUCCUUAAACAUUCUCCAUGUUUAAUUUAUAUAUAAGAUAAACAUAAUGCCCGCUUUUUGCAGUUUAAAGUAACAAAAGUGCAUACAGAGCUUCAGCACAAAGUGAAGCCAUUUCUCAUGUUUAACAGAGAUGAUAUGUAUUUGCCAAGUCCUUUAUCUUUUGGGUCCAUUUCUCAGUGUUUUAAUAUUUCUGCCAAGAGAUAAACAAUAAAAGUGAAAGGAUGUUGAGAAACUGUUAGUCAUUUUCUGUUAAAGAGCUCUGCCUAGCAGCUGCCAGAGGAAGGGUGGCAAGUGAGUUGCCUUGGGUGCACAUGUGCCUGUCCCUUCGACUUGCAUGAGCUGGAAUUGAUGGUGACUCGGAAACACGUAGGGCUCAGUUGAUGGCAUGCACGGUCCCUCUGUGUGCCCGGCACUGUGCCUUUCAGGGAUGGUGCUCACACAGUGCUGGGAGUCGGUCGUGGUGGUGUUAGGUCCCAAGAAGCCUGAAACUUGACAUCUCUUCAUUUCUUUUGCGGUGCUAUCAUUGAAAAGUCUCUCUCUGGUAUAUUUUAGAAUCAGAUCAUUCUUAGACUGCAACUCAUUUCUUAACGUGUCUGCCCAGCUGGACAUGUUCAUCAUGUGGUACCCGUGACCCCGGCAGCUUGGGAGGCAGGGACAGGAGGAUCUGAAGUUGGAAUGACUUAAGAGAGAUGCUGUCUCCAAGCUGAACAAUAAAAUGCUCAGAAAACUGUUACUAACUGGAUUUGAUAUAGAGAUCAGAACCUGAUGGUAUUAAAAAUACUUUUACUGACCUUUUAAUGAGUGCCUGCAUUUCCAAAUUUGCCUGCCUUAUUAUUGUACAGAUUCAAAAAAUCUAAUCUGCUUUGAUUUUUACUUUCAGAUACAUAUCUUUAAAAAUAAUUUUAAAUGUUUUAAUCUGAAUACCAUUCAGUAUGUAAUUCAUUCUGUCUGUGUUCAGGCAAGAUUUCAAGCCCUUGCUAAACACUGGUUUAUAUUUUCUUCUAGCAGGUCCCCACGGGGGUUCUGAGUGAGUGAGGACUAUGUAACUGGGUGUAGCCCCCGCCAGUCUGUGGCAUCUUGGUAGGGAAGGAAGGACGGCUGAGGUCAUCCUUCAUUGACUGGACUGGGUGCCUCUUUCCACACUCUGGAACCAGGUGUCAAUAGAAAUGUCUACUCUGCACUCUCAUUCAUACACAGCAGCUAAUAAAGGCUCUCUCACUUUUAAGAAGCUCUUAUUUGGCUGUGACUUACGUAGGUGAUAGAGGCAAAUGUUAUCAUCUCAUGAAGUGAAAUAAAGGCCUUCUCACUGUCUGGAUGGUUACUCUGUAGCUGACCUGUUCAUUCAUCCUUCCCUCCAGUUCUGUUAUUUGGCUUGGAUUCUGUUUGUCCUUGUACCUAUUCUCCAAGUGGUGUUCAUGGGACAGUGGUGCCCGAGCCUCCCAGCAGCGUUGGCACUCGCAGUCCCAGCCGUCCCUGCUGUGGAGGUGGGGGGGGGCUGGGGGGGGGGGUGCUCUUCCUUCCUGCUCUGCCCAGGAAGUGCACGAACAGCGCUCUCAUGUGGGCUCUAUUCUGCUGCCUGUCCUAACAUUGCCAUUUCAUUGUUCAUCCAGAUCCAAGAAAGUGGUAUGAGUGUGGUUCUCUCUUCCCUGCAGCAGGAGUUUUCUGACUGUCUGGCACCUUCACGUUGCCCCAGGAGAGCAGCAGGCUGCUCUGCACGGUGCUUUCCUGUCUGCACUCUCCACAGAAACAAGCGUCCGUCUCCUUUGGCUCCUGCGCUCUGGAAAGACCCACUGUCAGUGCCGAUCCUUUCCUCCCGUGCUGUGCUCCUGGCCCAGAGCCCUUGCCAGUGUCAGCAGGGGCUGAUGUGGAAGCUUCUGCAUGGUCUGAGAGUUUGGGAGCUGGCAGUGAAAACACUCAGAGAACCCUGACUCUGGGCAGUCCAUUGGGAAAAUGAGAAGUUCUGUCUUUGAGCCCUUUCUGUUUUUCUGGUUAAAAAUGGAAUAUGGGGAUUACAGUGUUGAGUGAGGAUGUUGCCUGCAGAGUCGGCUCUGACCCUGGCUGGUGUGCUGCUUAGCUUGUUUUGGCCUUCUGCGAGGAGAAUUGCAUGAGGUGUUGAAGGUGGUGGUGAUGGUGGUGGUGGUUUUUCCUGUAUAGACUCUUUAAGAGGCAUCAAGUUAUUUUUCGUUGCUGCUCUGACUUGACAUAGACUUUUCAGACCAUGAUGCCGUUGAUGCUUUAAAUAACUAAUAAACACUAUGUCUGGCACAUUCAGGAGAGGAAUUUGGGUAAGUGGCCUUUAAGGCAGCCCUGGCUCACCUGAGAGGUUGUGAUCAGCAACUGAGUCUACUAACUCAAGGCAGUAGACUCUUGGUGUGAAUAUCUAAUGGCAGAAAUGACUCCUGGAGCAGUUUGGCUCCUGAUACCUCAGCAUGUCAGGACAGAACCCCGAGUUGCCCACGCCAGCCAAGGCUACUUCUGCAGAGAAGACCCAGCGCAACCCACACCACUCAGCUUGUCAGAACCUGUUUUACCUUUCGCUUCAUUAAACAAAAUAGCAAAAAUUGGUCCAAGCAAACAUACCAGAAUUUCUGAAAAUGAAGCCUAUUUGUCUUUUCAGUCUUACGUAUAAAUAGUCCUUUAAAACAGUUACCCUCGUCAGUGAUUUCAUCUUGUUUGAAAAAUAUUUAGAAAUAAUAAUUAAAUUUUUUAAAAUCCCAUCUUUUAGGUUGUUAUAAGAAAUCAUUCAGCUGGGCACUGUGGCACACACCUGUAAUCCCAGCAGCUCGGGAGGCUGAGACAGGAGGAUCGCGAGUUCAAAGCCAGCCUCAGCAAUGAUGGGUGCUAACAACUCAGUGAGACCCUGUCUCUAAAUAAAAUACAAAAUCACUGGGGAUGUGGCUCAGUGAUCGAGUACCCCUGCGUUCAGUCCCCAGUACCAAAAAAAAAAAAAAAAUUAUCCUUGGUAAAUAUGUCUUUAAUCUGAAAUUGUAGCCAAUCACCAUCUACAGUUUUUCCAACCAGUUUAAAUGUAUAAUCUGGAUUUAACCUCCAUGACCCUUCAUCUAACUAGAUGGCAUUACCUCUGGUUUUGGGUAAGAAAAUUGAAUCAAAGUGUAAGUAACUUGCCACAGACUGCACAGCCAGUACCUGAUAGAACUGAGGUGCAGUCUCCAACCGUGGAGGCCCGAUGACUCCACGCCUCAGGCCUUUCCUGUUAAGUCACGACUGUGUUUAUGUGGAGUAUUUGGACCAAAUAUUUAAGUGAGAAAAUGAAAGACUCUUAGCUGUUAAAAGCCAAAAUAUUCCUCUGAUUUUUUUUUUUUUAAGUGGAGGGAGAAAGUUGUGAAAUAAUUUGUACUACCACUGAAAAUCAGAAGUAUUCUUGGAACAUCGGAAUAUUCUCUAAAUCAAACCCUUCUUUCAUUCACUGUUAUUGAAUUAAGUUCCUUUCCGAGCAGUCUUCUGAGUGCAUGGAAGGUGCACAUUUUGCAUCAGAAUUGUAAAGGGUUCUCUGCCUUCCAUCAGCCCCCUUGGUUCAGGUGCUGGAGACCCCUGUAACGAGCACCCAUAGUUUUUGUGACUCAGAUUCUACUAAGAAUGAUUUCUUGAUGACUUGAUGUUCAUGUUGGUGGGAAGUCCCGAUGAAAAGACGGCUCCAUUGGUGCCCGGUGCCAGGGGUGCUGUUCUGCAGAGGGGGCUGGGAGCUGGAAGAAGUCUGGUCCCCAGAACUCGGGGCUUUUGAGUAGACGUUCUGGCUAACUGGUGUGGACCUGGCUUGUGUUUCCUGCCUGCCCAUGCGGAGUCACAGGACUGACAUAUUUAGGUUUGGGGCUCUGUGGUAAAGAGGAGCUGGGGAGAAUGGCAAUGGAUUGGUGCAACGUAUGUGGUCACUUGUCUAAUGGUGAUGGUUUUGGUGUCCAGAGACCCUGCCCCUGCAGUCACAUGAGCGGCGCUUUAAGGGUAUAAAAACCUGUCAGUUUGUCUGUUUGCAAAUAAUUGUGCAGGAACUUCAAAAAUCCUGCUGCCCUUGUCCAUAGCCGUUCCUUCCAUUGCUUGUUUAAACUCAUUUUCACCCCUUGGCAUUAAGGUACAGUAAGCCUGACAAUUAUUUUAUGUCUGUUUUCUUUCAUGUUGAUGGUAACCUCAGUUUCCUCUCACUUCAGUCAUGUAGUGUAGAUCCUUAGUGUUGUCCCUCAGGACAAAAUGCAGCUGCUAACAUGAGUGAUUUAAAGACACAUGGCAACUUUGUGUCCAAACAUUGUAUCAAUAGUAUUUUUAGCAGUCUUACACAGUGGAGGUCCAAAUUGGAUUAGACUUUGGCAUUGAAUUCCAAAGUGUUGGUAAGUCAGCACAUACCAUGUAGUCUUGCUAAAUUCCUGUGGCUACUUUUUUUAAAAAAUCUGUCUGUCUGUCAGUAUCUUACAUAGAGGUCAUUUCUUGUGUAAAACUGGAUGACCUGAAAAAUUUGAAGUUAGUAAUUCUUGAAGAAGAAGAUGAGUCAUGGUGCUUUACCUGCGUCUGUCUUACACCACUGAUUGUACAUGAAAAUCAAGCACUGCAGUUUUACCAAGAUGAUAGCGAAGCAUUUGGUGUGGUUGACUGUGACACGUUGGAAUGGUUUUCGGUGCCCUACUUUUAGUUCAUCGUUAGUCGUGUUGUGUUUGUGUGUAUCUAUGUACGUCUGUGUGUUUGGUAAAUAUGAAUUGAAUAGAUGACUUCUUAUUUUAUGUUUUAGGCCAAGAUUGACAGACACCUAAAUAUUCAUGACUUGAGAAUAUUCUGCAGCUAUAAAUUUUGAACCAUUGAUGUGCAAAGCAAGACCUGAAGCCCACUCCGGAAACUAAGUGAGGCUUGCUAAGCCUGUAGACGGCCUCACGGUUGUCUGUUUACAAAGUAAACUUUACACCCAGGGAAUGAAGAGCACCCACCAGCAGAAGACUUGGCAGACCCUUUAAUCUGAUGUAUUGCUACAUGUUUUUAAUGCGUGUAUGAAAUGUAGAAAGAUGUAAAAGAAAUAAAUUAGGAGAGACUACUUUGUAUUGUACUGCCAUUCCUACUGUAUUUUUAUACUUUUUGGCAGCAUUAAAUAUUUUUAUUAAAUAGACUAUGUUGCUUUGUGUGCAUUGUCUUAGGACAGCUCUGCUUCAAAUAUGAAUAUUAUGGGUUUUUUCUCAGAUUUCCAUAACUAGCAGUUGAUAUUUAAAUGAAAAUUGAUUCAAAACAUUGGUUACUUUUCCAGAUUUUUUUAGUUAUCCCUCAAUAGUCUUCUGUCCUGAUAGUAUUGGUUAGGUAAAAGCAAAAACAGGAAAGUUACAUCCCUGAGGUCACUUGAGAUGUGAGCUAAUAUUGCCUAGUGGUCAAAAAGUAGUUUCAGAGAGGUGCGGCAGUCCCUUGCAGUUCGUACCCAGUGUCCUCCUGCAGGCUGGUGCACUCUGCCCCACGUUUCCCUCAGCAGGAGGCCAGGGAUCCCUUUUUCCAUCUCAGUUCCUGCCCAAGGGGUGGAUUGGGGCAACGUAUGUGGUCACUUGUCUAUUGGUGAUGGUUUUGGUGUCCAGUGACACUUAAGCCCCUGCAGUCAUGUGAGCGGCG